UAUUAUAUUUUAUUGUCAAAAUGACAACAUUCAUUCUGCCCUCUCACACAGAUUACAUAAUCAAGGCAUUUUAAAAAAUAAUGUUAAUCAAGAAAUCUCACUUUCAUUGGCAAGUCAGGUCAUGCUGUUAAAAGCAGAUAAGGUUUAAGAAUGUAAAUGUUAUGAAGUCUACCAGAUCUUGAGGAUUAUUCACCAGCUCACACUCACAC